rnacentral:tRNA from 1 species
GCGCCAAUAAUCUAGCCUGGUAGGAUCUCAGCUUCCCAUGCAUAGCCCGGCGCUAUGUGGAAAUAGCUGAAUGCCCGGGUUCAAAUCCCGGUUGGCGCA